UUCCCGGCCAAUGCAACUUAUUG
rnacentral:piRNA from 1 species